rnacentral:rRNA from 1 species
GCGGGCUGGACCUCUCGGGGUUACAGCCUUGCUGAAUUAUUCACCCUUGUCUUUUGCGUACUUCUUGUUUCCUUGGUGGGUUCGCCCACCACUAGGACAAACAUAAACCUUUUGUAAUUGCAAUCAGCGUCAGUAACAAAUUAAUAAUUACAACUUUCAACAACGGAUCUCUUGGUUCUGGCAUCGAUGAAGAACGCAGCGAAAUGCGAUAAGUAGUGUGAAUUGCAGAAUUCAGUGAAUCAUCGAAUCUUUGAACGCACAUUGCGCCCUUUGGUAUUCCAAAGGGCAUGCCUGUUCGAGCGUCAUUUGUACCCUCAAGCUUUGCUUGGUGUUGGGCGUCUUGUCUCUAGCUUUGCUGGAGACUCGCCUUAAAGUAAUUGGCAGCCGGCCUACUGGUUUCGGAGCGCAGCACAAGUCGCACUCUCUAUCAGCAAAGGUCUAGCAUCCAUUAAGCCUUUUUUCAACUUUUGACCUCGGAUCAGGUAGGGAUACCCGCUGAACUUAAG